rnacentral:misc_RNA from 1 species
UGCCUGUCCGAGCGUCAUGAGACCAAUCAAGCUUUGCUUGGUAUUAGGCCGUGCCAGCAAUGGCAGGCCCCAAAUCUAGUGGUAGUGCCGUAGGCUCUGAACGUAGUAACAUCUCCCGUUAUGGACGUCCGCGGUAGGCGACCAUGAACCCAACUCUUCGGUUUGACCUCGGAUCAGGUAGGGAUACCCGCUGAACUUAA